UGUAGUUUACUAGAUGUGUAAUUUGUAAACAAACAACAUGGAAAGAAAUAACUUUAUGAAGAAAGUAUCGCUAUCAGCUAAUCAAAGAGAAGUUAUGUAUUUAAAACACGAAGAACGCCUUUUAAUUGAAUUAAUUGGUAAACUGAAAGACCAGUUAAACAGGUUAAAGGAGCAGGAGCAAAAUGAAGAAAACCUUGAUAAGGUGUUGAAAUUGGACGUCACUCAAACUUUAGAAGCAUUGGCAAGAGGAGGGUUUUAUGAAGAGAUAGAAGUGGAAGAAGAAGAUGAUGAUGAAGAUGAAUAGUUGAAAUAACAAAAGGACUAACUGGCUAUCAAAAGUCAUACUGUGUAUAAAAUAUUUCAGACUUCAUUUUAACAUCUGUUGUUACAAGAUGCUUUUGAACUGUAUCAUUAUUCUAAUAAAGAAAUAGCAGAUAUAAUUGUAUGUUAAUACUCUUUUAGUGUGAAUAACUAUGAAAUAAAGUAUCAAAGGAGUGAAUAUAUUAUAGCCAAUUGUAUAGUUCUUUACAAAAGAAAGGUAAGAUAUAUAUAUAUAUAUGAAGUUCAAUCAGAACUGUGUCUGUGAUUUGAUUUAACAUGUUCAUAUCUGAAUGAUUAUGUUAAAAUCUUUCAUUUAAAUAAAAUUACUUUUCAAAUCCCCACAAAGUCAAGAUGAUAAUUAUGACAUGUUUAGCUGUGUAGAAUUAAUUGAAUUGGAAAAAGUGGCAAGGAUUGAUACAGUUUGGAUAUUUCAUGUACACAUAGGCUGUAGAAAAUUACUGAUUAUUUUUGAUAAUUUCAUCGUAAAGUUCAUAAUUAUUUAAAGUUAGUUGUUUACUUUGUUACGGUAAGAACUUUGUGUGCUUUUCUUGUUAUUAGUAGUGAACUGUGUAUUUAAGUAGAAUAAUAAAAAACAAGAUUUUCCGUAAUUAUAUCACCACUGCUUUAUAAAGCAGGAUGAAGCAGAUCGGUUUGUCCUUGUCCGGUCAUCCGUCAGUCCCAACGUAGUGGAUAGGAUAUCUCAAAAUUUGGUGGAUGGAUUUUGAUUAAAUGUAUCUAACAGGUAUUACAUACAAAGUUCUAGACUUGACUAACUUUUGAAGAUCAUUGGUCAAAGGUCAAGGUCAAUAAAAUUGUGGGUACAUAAAUAUGUAGUAUAACAUUGUGUUUCAUAAGUACAAUUUGCAUGUUCUUUUUUUUGGGGGGGAAGGGGUCUUCAGUUGUAAGAUUGAGGGCUUAUAAUGUUACAAUUCAGAGUUCAAUUCCUGUAAUUGACACAUUACAUUAAAGAAACAUGGAAUAUGUCAUUAUAAAAUACAAAAGCCAGUUGUGUGCUUAUGUGUUCUGUGAUCGUGAAGACUCUCAUUCUAGAUUAUGUUGUUUUACAUUUUUGUCACUUAAAUAAAGAGUAGAUGAUUUUAUUGUAAGAAUACACUAGAUAAUUGUUUUACACUUAUUUGAUGUGACUGUUUAAUGAAAAAAAUAUCCAGUAGAACUCAAUAAUUAUUUUCAAGGUGCUUUUAACAAAUUAGUGAUAGAGACUGAGGUUCUGACCAAGUGUGUGAGUGAAUAAAAGUCAUAAGUAUUGCAAGGCAUUAAUAAAUAGCAUAAAAAAGAGUAAUCUGUAAAUAUAUGAUUGUGAUAUAGUGAAAGUGUGUGUAUGGUUGGUAUCUACAGCACAGUGUAGUUCAGUGAUUUUUGUAUCAAAUGUAAAGUACACAUAAGGUUAGCAUAGUUUUUGUAUCAUAUGUAAAGUACACAUAAGGUUAGCAUAGUUUUUUGUAUCAUAUGUAAAGUACACAUAAGGUUAGCAUAGUUUUUGUAUCAUAUGUAAAGUACACAUAAGGUUAGCAUAGUUUUGUAUCAUAUGUAAAGUACACAUAAGGUUAGCAUAGUUUUUGUAUCAUAUGUAAAGUACACAUAAGGUUAGCAUAGUUUUUUGUAUCAUAUGUAAAGUACACAUAAGGUUAGCAUAGUUUUUGUAUCAUAUGUAAAGUACACAUAAGGUUAGCAUAGUUUUGUAUCAUAUGUAAAGUACACAUAAGGUCAGCAUAGUUUUUUCUAUCAUAAGAUGUACCACAUUAAUAUUCCCAUUAGAACAUGCUUCACUAAGAUGGAAUAUGUAUUGAUAGAUGUUGAUAUAUAUCUUUUAUUUGUGAUUAACUGAAAAACAUCAUAUCAAAGAUAUUAUUCUAUUCACAGAUACCCUUUAAAUAUCUGUAACGAAUUCCAAAAAAAAAAA